rnacentral:snRNA from 1 species
GGUUGUAAGACGCUCUAGCCUGCAACAUAUCACUGAAUUUCUUGGCAGGGUUGAUUCUGCUGAUCAGGCUGGCUAGUUAUGUCUCACUGCCCUUACUCGCUGCUCAGUGUUGGUCUCUCCUGGUUUCAUUCUCAGUCAAAGGGGAUGACCUUCCCAGUAUAGAAGGACUAUUCAAGUAGCCAUUGCUUUAUUAGAACCACGACACUAGUUCUCAAGAAACCCUAAGUUCUAUUCGCUUGUAGAAUGAACUUCAUUGUUCCUACAGGCAACAGUCUCUUGUUUCUGCCUGUUCUG